rnacentral:rRNA from 2 species
UGGGGAAUAUUGCGCAAUGGAGGAAACUCUGACGCACCAACGCCGCGUGAAGGAUGAAGGCUUUCGGGUUGUAAACUUCUUUGAUCGGGGACGAAGAUGACGGUACCCGAGGAACAAGCCACGGCUAACUACGUGCCAGCAGCCGCGGUAAUACGUAGGUGGCAAGCGUUGUCCGGAAUUACUGGGUGUAAAGGGCGUGUAGGCGGGGCGGCAAGUCAGAUGUGAAAUACCGUGGCUUAACUGCGGGGGUGCAUCUGAAACUGUUUUUCUUGAGUGUCGGAGAGGAAAGCGGAAUUCCUAGUGUAGCGGUGAAAUGCGUAGAGAUUGGGAGGAACACCAGUGGCGAAGGCGACUUACUGGGCCGUAACUGACGUUGAUGCGCGAAAGCGUGGGGAGCGAACAGG